CGGCCAACAGCUUGCAAGCAUGCUCCGCUGGACCCGAGCCUGGAGGCUCCCGCGUGAGGGACUCGGCCCCCACGGCCCUAGCUUCGCGAGGGUGCCUGUCGCACCCAGCAGCAGCAGCGGCGGCCGAGGGGGCGCCGAGCCGAGGCCGCUUCCGCUUUCCUACAGGCUUCUGGACGGGGAGGCAGCCCUCCCGGCCGUCGUCUUUUUGCACGGGCUCUUCGGCAGCAAAACUAACUUCAACUCCAUCGCCAAGAUCUUGGCCCAGCAGACAGGCCGUAGGGUGCUGACGGUGGAUGCUCGUAACCACGGUGACAGCCCCCACAGCCCAGACAUGAGCUACGAGAUCAUGAGCCAGGACCUGCAGGACCUUCUGCCCCAGCUGGGCCUGGUGCCCUGCGUCGUCGUUGGCCACAGCAUGGGAGGAAAGACAGCCAUGCUGCUGGCACUACAGAGGGUGAGCCGCCCAUGUCUGGGGCCUCCUCCCAUUCAGUAUAUACCCUGAGGGCCCUGCAGGCAACCUGGGACUCACAUGAUCGUUGGAUGACCAAGUUCAGGCUCCAGGAGCCAUGCCUGAGACUCCCUAUGUCUGCCUAAGACUGGUCCCAGUUCGGUUCUCUCCCACAGCCAGAGCUGGUGGAACGUCUCAUUGCUGUAGAUAUCAGCCCAGUGGAAAGCACAGGUGUCUCCCACUUUGCAACCUAUGUGGCAGCCAUGAGGGCCAUCAACAUCGCAGAUGAGCUGCCCCGCUCCCGUGCCCGAAAACUGGCGGAUGAACAGCUCAGUUCUGUCAUCCAGGUGAUACACCCAAGGUGCCCCGGAUGGUAUUGUAGACCAGGACCUGUCAAGGGAAGAGUGGCACCCCCAGACCGCACAAGGAACCUCCCCCAACUGCUGCACCCCCACAGGACAUGGCCGUGCGGCAGCACCUGCUCACUAACCUGGUAGAGGUAGACGGGCGCUUCGUGUGGAGGGUGAACUUGGAUGCCCUGACCCAGCACCUAGACAAGAUCUUGGCUUUCCCACAGAGGCAGGAGUCCUACCUCGGGCCAACACUCUUUCUCCUUGGUGGAAACUCCCAGUUCGUGCAGUAAGCUAGCCUGGGUAGUAGGAGGGGCAUGCUUUACUCGCCCAGGCCCCAGCCUGGGGACCCUACCAGGGGAGGCCUUGGGUGUGGAAGGGGGGUGGCUGAGAGGCCAGAAAUACCACCGGGCAUAUGGGCUCACACAGCUCUCUCCAUUUCUCCCCGUUCUGCUUCCACGUGUCUCUUUCACUCCUCCUCAUCCCACUUUCACCCGUUUUUGAUGGCCGUCGCUGCGAUGCACAGUCCCAGCCACCACCCUGAGAUUAUGCGGCUCUUCCCUCGGGCCCAGAUGCAGACGGUGCCGAACGCUGGCCACUGGAUCCACGCUGACCGCCCACAGGACUUCAUAGCUGCCAUCCGAGGCUUCCUGGUCUAAGAGUUGCUGGCAAGAAGAUGGCCGGGCGUGGUGGCUCAUGCCUGUAAUUCCAGCACUUUGGGAGGCUAAGGCGGGAGGAUGACUUGAGGCCAGGAGUUGGAGACCAGCCUGGCCAACAUGGUGAAACCCUGUCUCUACUAAAAAUACAAAAAUUAGCCUGGCGUGGUGGUGCACACCUGUAAUCCCAGCUACUCUGGAGGCUGAGGCAGGAGAAUCACUUGAACCCUGGAGGCAGAGGUUGCAAUGAGCCGAGAUCACACCACUACACUCCAGCCUAGGCAACAGAGCAAGACUCUGUC
rnacentral:lncRNA from 1 species